UCUAAAGCUGCUGGGAGUGGACUCGAGAAUGGAGAAUCAACAUCAUUGGACUUGGAUAUCUAAUCAAUAGAAGGUACAAGUUAUGUUCUUUCUUUUUUUUAUUUAUUUAUCAUUAACUAUGCUUACUUUUAAUCUAAUGUGCACUUGCAUCAUAUGCUAAGGACGGGUGCCAGCACUUAAAGAGCUUUUUCCACAUGAUGAAUGUAGAUUCUAUGUCAGACAUCUAUAGUCCAACUUUCAGGCAAAACAUCUAGGAACGAGUUUGAAGGAUGCUUUAUGGAACUAUGGUGGGC
rnacentral:lncRNA from 1 species